UACGUAGGCAGCAAGCGUUGUUCGGAGUUACUGGGCGUAAAGAGUAUGUAGGCGGCCUAGCAAGUUCGGUGUGAAAUCUCCCGGCUCAACUGGGAGGGUGCGCCGAAAACUGCCAGGCUGGAGUGCGGGAGAGGAGAGCGGAAUUCCUGGUGUAGCGGUGAAAUGCGUAGAUAUCAGGAGGAACACCGGCGGUGUAGACGGCUCUCUGGACCGCGACUGACGCUGAGAUACGAAAGCGUGGGGAGCAAAC
rnacentral:rRNA from 1 species